GACGGAGGAUGCAAGCGUUAUCCGGAAUCACUGGGCGUAAAGCGCCUGUAGGUGGUUUAAAAAGUCCACUGUUAAAGAUUGAAGCUUAACUUCAAAAAUGCCGUGGAAACUUUUAAACUUGAGUAUGAUAGGGGUAGAGGGAAUUUCCAGUGGAGCGGUGAAAUGCGUAGAUAUUGGAAAGACCACCAAUGGCGAAGGCACUCUACUGGGCCAUUACUGACGCUGAGAGACGAAAGCUAGGGGAGCGAAUGGG
rnacentral:rRNA from 1 species